AUUUUUUGGCAUAGUUGAUACAAUCCUCUUCCAUAGUAGACCAAUAAUAUCCAAACCUCAUGAUUUGUCUAGCCAUCGUGAAACCAUUAGCGUGCGUCCCACAAACACCCUCGUGAACUUCUUCCAAGAUUAACUUAGCUUCCACGGCGUCAACACAUCUUAACAGUACUUGGUCCUUUCUUCUUUUGUACAAGAUGUCCCCAUCCAAAAUGUAGUCGCGGGUUAAUCUCCUUAAAGUUCACUUAUCAUUUUCAGUUGCCUGUUCUGGGUAUUUACGAUCUCUCACAUAUCAUAAUAUAUCCUGAUACCAAGGGUUAUCAUCCUUUUC
rnacentral:lncRNA from 1 species